UCCGUAGGUGGAUGAUUAAGUCAGAGGUGAAAUCCUGCAGCUCAACUGUAGAAUUGCCUUUGAUACUGGUCAUCUUGAGUCAUUGUGAAGCAGUUAGAAUAUGUAGUGUAGCGGUGAAAUGCAUAGAUAUUACAUAGAAUACCGAUUGCGAAGGCAGAUUGCUAACAAUGUACUGACACUGAUGGACGAAAGCGUGGGGAGCGAACAGGAUUAGAUACCCUGGUAGUCC
rnacentral:rRNA from 1 species